GUUUUGUUUUAUAGAUUAAUCUAAAGUUUAUUUCAUAAAAAUGAACUGUACAAAACCAAGGUAUCCUAUUUAAAACCAGCAAAAUAUUUUUGGUGGGAUCAGACGUGUUUCAUUUGGUGUUCUCUGGACAGUGAAAAAUAAAGCUAUGGAACAAUUAUCGAGAGCUGACUAUGCUCGGUUAAGUGCAACCGAAAGGAAUGGGUACUUAAGGAAACUACGUGGAGAACACGAGAGUGAUUCGAGUAGGGUUUCUGAUAGCAAUGACGAAGACUGGAUUCCAGAAAAUAGAGCUAGACAUCAAAAUCAAUCGAAUAAGACACGGGAGCAGUAUUCGACAGUUGGAUUUCACGAGAUGGUUACCAUGUGUUCCUACGAUCCUAAAAAAAAUAAAUCUGUCAUUCUGACUGUCUCUACAAUGCAUUCAGAUAUAUCAGUUGGUGAUGACGCUAAACGAAAACCAGAAAUAAUAAAUUUUUAUAAAAAAAAUAAAGCUAGAGUUGACACAAUGGACCAAAUGGUGCGGAGAUACACCAAUCAACAACGAUCUUCGAGAUGGCCAAUGACAAUGUUCUUCAACAUGCUACAUAUUUCUUCACUUGCGGCAUAUAUAAUUUAUUAAGAAAAUAAUAAAACUAUUGUCAAAAAAAAGACAGAACGUCGUCAAUUUAUGCGUAAACUAAGUGAAGAACUAGCAUUGCCGAUGAUUGAACAUAGCACGGCGAAUCCACAAGUAAUGGGCCUCUUCUCAACAAAGAUUGCCAUUGAAAGUGUACUAGGCCAUAUACUGACAGAAACAGUCGUGAUAGAUUUGCAAAUGAGGUAUGCACUGCGACCUAGGGUCUAUUGUGCCCUGUCGUGAUAAAUCCUGGUCCAGAGAAACCAAAACAUAAAACUGGAAGGAAAAAAGUAACAGGAUCUUGUCAUGUCUGCAAUGCUUUGCCAAUAAGAAGACGGCGAAAAACAAGUAAGGCCUGUGCCAAUUGUCCCCAACCUGUGUGUGACGAGCACUCAGUUAAUCGUGUACAAUGUGUUCAAUGUCAUUAAUUAUAAAAAAAUGUGUAAUAUUUCUUUAUUUUUUAAAUAAAAUUUAGUUUCCUAUGCUUUCCACUGCAUUAAUAGAAAUGGUUGCUAAUAGGGCUGGCUAGAGUUUAAGCUUAUUUA